rnacentral:rRNA from 1 species
GACCUAGCCCUGAAAAUGGAUGGCGCUGUAGCUGGGGGGCGGUGG